rnacentral:lncRNA from 1 species
UUCGGCAGUCCAAUGGACAAGGCCAAGUACAAGAACGUUAUACACGCUUGCUCACUGAAACGGGACUUGGAGCUCUUCUCACAUGGUGAUCAGACCAUUAUCGGUGACAGAGGCAUAAACCUCAGCGGUGGUCAGAAGCAGAGAGUUCAGCUAGCGAGAGCGCUUUACCAGGAUGCUGAUGUUUAUCUGCUGGACGACCCUUUCAGUGCUGUUGACGCUCACACUGGCUCCGAACUCUUCAAGGUGCACUCUUUUUUAUUUUCUACUUCUUUCCAAAUAAACAAACAACUACCUUUUUUAAACACUGCCUUGCGUUGAAUGUGUCUCCCUACUUCACAAGCUUGAGUUUGCGUAUCUACAGGAAUACAUAUUGACGGCUCUGGCAGACAAGACUGUGAUAUUUGUAACUCAUCAAGUCGAGUUUCUUCCUACCACGGAUCUUAUAUUGGUGAGGACUUCUUCGGCAUGGCUCAAUCUUAUACCAAGAAAGCACUUCAUGAAAUUUUUGUGUUUAUCUGCAGGUCCUUAGGGAUGGCCAAAUUAUACAGUCAGGUAAGUAUGAGGAACUGCUACAAGCAGGAACGGAUUUCUUAUCACUUGUGUCUGCUCAUCAUGAAGCAAUUGAAGCAAUGGACAUUCCAAGCCAUUCAUCAGAGGACUCUGAUAGCCAUCAUGGGAUAGACCAGUCAUUGCCACACAAUCCAAAAUCCAACGCUUCCUCGAGCAACAUUGAGAUUCUGGCCAAGGAGGUCCAAGAAGGGCCGUCGGGGUCUAACCAGAAAGCCACCAAAGAGAAAAAGAAAGCGAAACGGCUAAGGAAGAAACAACUGGUUCAGGACGAGGAACGUGUCCGGGGACGAGUCAGUAUGAAGGUGUACUGGUCAUAUAUGGCUGCAGCCUAUAAAGGGCUGUUGAUUCCGCUCAUAAUCAUUGCGCAGACUCUGUUUCAGUUCCUUCAGAUUGCAAGUAACUGGUGGAUGGCCUGGGCAAAUCCGCAAACAGAGGGAGACCAAGCUAAAGUGAGCUCCACGGUCCUUCUCCUUGUAUUUAUUGCGCUAGCGUUUGGUAGCUCAGUAUUUAUCUUUGUCCGAGCGAUUCUGGUCGCCACGUUCGGCCUCGUAGCUGCUCAGAAGCUGUUUCUGAACAUGCUCAGGAGUGUUUUCCGCGCGCCAAUGUCGUUUUUCGACUCGACUCCUGCUGGAAGGAUCUUAAAUCGGGUUGGUUCUCUUUUUUUUAAAUUUAUUAGAACAUGACUGUGACGUCUUCUCUUCAUGAUGGUCUUUCUCAUUGCUAUUUUAGGUGUCCAUUGAUCAAAGCGUGGUGGAUCUUGAUAUUCCUUUUAGGCUCGGAGGAUUUGCAUCAACAACAAUACAGCUCAUUGGCAUUGUUGGUGUGAUGACAAACGUUACAUGGCAAGUGUUUCUUCUUGUAAUUCCAACUGGCAUUGCUUGCUUGUGGAUGCAGGUGAUUUCUGGUUAAUUUCUGAAGAUUCGUUUUUAUGAUACUUAAAAGGGAUACAAUAAAUUCAAAGUAUUUGACUUAUUUCUCUUGGUAUUACACGUUUUAACAGCAAAGUUUUUUUUUUGGUUUUUUGCAUUUGAAAAACGCAGAAAUACUACAUGGCAUCGUCUAGAGAGCUGGUUCGGAUAGUGAGCAUACAGAAAUCUCCAAUAAUCCAUCUAUUUGGGGAGUCAAUCGCGGGUGCAGCAACAAUCAGAGGGUUUGGCCAAGAAAAGCGUUUCAUGAAGAGAAACCUCUAUUUACUGGACUGCUUUGCCCGCCCUUUCUUUUGCAGCAUCGCUGCUAUAGAAUGGCUCUGUUUACGCAUGGAGCUGCUUUCUACUUUCGUCUUUGCCUUCUGCAUGAUCCUGCUCGUUAGCUUUCCACAUGGAACAAUCGAUCCAAGCAAGUUCUUCUCUUCGUCCUCUUUACUCUAUAGAUCGUUAGAAGGCUAUCUAUCAUGUUUACUGAGUUCAUCAUAUAUAUUACCUUUUUGUAUUAGGCAUGGCUGGUCUUGCAGUAACGUAUGGCCUUAAUUUAAACGCUCGCCUUUCCCGGUGGAUACUUAGCUUUUGUAAGCUCGAGAACAAAAUCAUCUCCAUCGAAAGAAUCUAUCAGUAUAGUCAGAUUCCCAGUGAAGCCCCUACGUUCAUCGAGGACGCUCACCCUCCUCCUUCGUGGCCAGAAAAUGGAGCCAUUGAGAUCAACAAUUUGAAGGUACAUUUCGAAUUGUUCAUUCUGUUGAACUUGUCGCUAUAGCUUUUUAUUCAUCCUCCUCCUUUGCUUAAAAGGUUCGCUAUGGAGAAAAUCUGCCAACUGUACUCCACGGAGUCAACUGUGUAUUCCCUGGUGGCAAGAAGAUUGGGAUUGUGGGGCGCACAGGAAGUGGCAAAUCAACGCUGAUCCAAGCGCUGUUCAGGCUGAUAGAGCCAUAUGCAGGACAAAUAAUCAUUGAUGGCAUCGAUAUCUCCUCCAUUGGCCUUCACGACCUCCGUGGCCGUCUCAGCAUCAUUCCCCAAGACCCCACCUUGUUUGAAGGCACUAUUCGAGGAAACCUCGACCCUCUCGAAGAACACACUGAUCAAGAAGUUUGGCAGGCUCUAGAUAAGUCACAGUUGGGGGACAUAGUUCGUGCGAAAGACCAGAAGCUCGAUACUCCAGGUAUAUAGUAAAUCUUGACGUUAGAUUGAGAAGUAAGAAAAAGAAUGCUUGUGAACGGCUCGAACCAUUUGUCUUCACAUGUUGUUGGGAACUUUGUUUCAGCUCCUGCUCUGGCUUUCCUCUGCUUCGUGGCUCUCAGAGGUGUAUCAGGUCUUCGAGUUAUUACUACACAUUCACAUCUUCUUGACCCUCUGCUUGUCGAAGAUGAAGAAGAAGAAGAAGAGAAAGCUGGGUGUCUCAGUGUUACUUCCUAUAGUGACGCCGGGUUGUUCAGCCUCGCUACGCUUUCGUGGCUGAAUCCUCUCCUCUCUCUUGGCGCCAAGAGGCCGUUGGAUCUCAAGGACAUUCCUCUGCUCGCUCCCAAAGACCGGGCAAAGACCAACUACAGAAUCUUGAACUUUAACUGGGAGAAGUUAAAGGCUGAGAAUCCCUCGAAACCGCCUUCUCUCGCUUGGGCCAUCUUGAAGUCGUUUUGGAAAGAAGCGGCUUGUAAUGCAGUCUUUGCUGGCUUGAACACUCUUGUUUCUUAUGUGGGUCCUUAUUUGGUGAAUGACUUUGUUAAUUAUCUGGGUGGGAAAGAGACUUACCCUCACGAGGGUUACAUCCUCGCUGGUAUCUUCUUUGCGGCCAAACUCGCAGAGACUUUGACAACCCGGCAGUGGUAUCUUGGUGUGGAUAUCUUGGGGAUGCAUGUCAGAUCAGCUCUAACGGCUAUGGUGUACAGAAAAGGGCUCAAACUCUCGAGUAUAACCAAGCAGAACCACACGAGCGGCGAGAUUGUGAACUACAUGGCCGUUGAUGUCCAGAGAGUAGGUGACUACUCUUGGUACCUUCAUGAUAUGUGGAUGCUUCCUCUACAGAUUGUACUUGCUCUCGGGAUCUUGUACAGGAGUGUGGGAAUGGCGGCUGUAGCUACGUUGGCGGCCACAGUUUUCUCUAUUAUCGCCACCAUCCCAUUGGCCAAAGUCCAAGAGGACUAUCAAGACAAAUUGAUGUCUGCUAAAGAUGAGCGGAUGAGGAAGACUUCGGAGUGUUUGAGGAACAUGAGGAUUCUGAAACUGCAGGCUUGGGAGGAUCGGUACAGGGUCGUGCUUGAGGGAAUGAGGAGCACGGAGUUCAAAUGGCUUCGAAAGGCUUUAUACUCCCAAGCGUUUAUCACGUUUAUAUUCUGGAGUUCGCCUAUCUUCGUAGCUGCAAUCACGUUUGCUACGGCCAUAGGCCUAGGAACUCAGCUCACUGCAGGAGGCGUUCUCUCUGCGCUUGCAACGUUCAGGAUUCUUCAGGAGCCGCUUAGGAAUUUUCCUGAUCUGGUGUCAAUGAUGGCUCAGACUAAAGUGUCUCUUGAUCGUAUAUCGGGGUUUCUGCAAGAGGAAGAGCUCCAGGAAGACGCUACGAUAAUCCUUUCUCAAGGUAUGACAGAGACAUCUGUGGAGAUCAAAGACGGUUGUUUCUCUUGGGAUCCUUCGUGGGUAAGGCCAACUUUGUUUGAUAUUCAUCUAAACGUCAAGAGAGGAAUGCGAGUAGCUGUUUGCGGAGUCGUCGGUUCCGGAAAAUCAAGUUUUCUUUCUUGUAUACUUGGAGAAAUACCUAAAAUCUCGGGUGAAGUAAGUGAAACACUUGAACAACUUUCGAAACAUGUGUGUCUGUCUUCAAUAUUUUUCAGGCCUAAUCAAAUUUGACGAGUUGUACACUGAAAUACACAGGUCAGAAUAUGCGGUAGUGCUGCUUAUGUUUCACAAUCCGCAUGGAUCCAGUCUGGGAAUAUAGAAGAAAAUAUUCUCUUCGGCAGUCCAAUGGACAAGGCCAAGUACAAGAACGUUAUACACGCUUGCUCACUGAAACGGGACUUGGAGCUCUUCUCACAUGGUGAUCAGACCAUUAUCGGUGACAGAGGCAUAAACCUCAGCGGUGGUCAGAAGCAGAGAGUUCAGCUAGCGAGAGCGCUUUACCAGGAUGCUGAUGUAUAUCUGCUAGACGACCCUUUCAGCGCUGUUGACGCUCACACUGGCUCCGAACUCUUCAAG